GGGAUCAUGAAUCCUGAAAACAAGUUCCAGAUUCCAUAAAACGCCGAUGAAACGACUGAAGCGAUGUGGACGUUUGGAGUCGCUCCCACCAUCAUCAUGCCGUAGUAGGUGUAGUACGACAACGCGAAGAAUGUGAAGAACAGAUCCCAGAACAUUGUCCCAAAUAUUAAGGCUGCGAUAGUGCUGAAGAGCAAUCUAACGGCGGUGUAUGGUGGGUUUCGCCAGUGAGACUUGUGCUGUUUCCAUAAACAAGCUAUGCAUUGGGUGAGAAAUGACUGCGAAUAUUGAGAAGGGAAAUGGAGUUCCUUUGACCCAGGAGAAGCAGAUCUGGCAUCUAAUCCUGAAGUUGGCUCAUCCAUGAAUAUUAUAGAGGGGUUUGCGACUAGUUCAACUGCAAUGGUCAACCUUUUGCGCUGCUCAGUUGAGAGACCAUUGACUCCAGGCAAUCCAACUAGUGCUUGUCUUAGUGGAGAGAGUUCCACAAGCUCCAUCACUUCCUCUAUGAACAACUGUCAGAGAUUCUCAAUAGUCGUAAGCGUUUUCAUUUUCUUCAAAAAGGCAAAGUUUAUUAUUUUGUUUUUUUAAUAAAAAAUUGCAUCUUGCUGCUGCCUUAAACGUGGAUGAGUCUCUUGCUGCUGCCUUAAACGUGGAUGAGUUCUCUUGCUGCUGUUGCUGCUGCCUUAAACGUGGAUGAGUUCUCUUGCUGCUGUUGCUGCUGCCUUAAACGUGGAUGAGUUCUCUUGCUGCUGCCUUAAACGUGGAUGAGUCUCAUCUUAUUUUUUUGGACCAAUAGAAAGAAUAAACAUUACUAGUUUUUUUAAAUUGAAAGGUAAAUGUUUUUGUCUUAUAUUAUAGGCAAAUAAAAAAAAAACCUUUCUUUGAUAUAUAUAUAUAUACAUAUUUUUUAAUUUAAUAAUUGAACUGCUGGAUUAUAC